UACGAAGGGGGCGAGCGUUGUUCGGAUUUACUGGGCGUAAAGGGCGCGCAGGCGGUUCUGUUUGUCGAGUGUGAAAGCCCCGGGCUCAACCUGGGAACUGCGCUCGAAACGGCGGAACUAGAGUUCGGGAGAGGAGAGUGGAAUUCCCAGUGUAGAGGUGAAAUUCGUAGAUAUCGGGAGGAACACCGGUGGCGAAGGCGGCGAUCUGGGUAGAUACUGACGCUGAGGUGCGAAAGCGUGGGGAGCAAACAGG
rnacentral:rRNA from 1 species